GAUGAACGCUAGCUACAGGCUUAACACAUGCAAGUCGAGGGGCAGCACUAGGUAGCAAUACUGAGGUGGCGACCGGCGCACGGGUGCGUAACGCGUAUCCAACCUUCCCGAUACUCUUGGAUAGCCUUCCGAAAGGAGAUUAAUACAAGAUGGUGUUUCAAUUCCGCAUGUUAUUGAAACUAAAGAUUUAUCGGUAUCGGAUGGGGAUGCGUGACAUUAGAUAGUAGGCGGGGUAACGGCCCACCUAGUCUACGAUGUCUAGGGGUUCUGAGAGGAAGGUCCCCCACACUGGAACUGAGACACGGUCCAGACUCCUACGGGAGGCAGCAGUGAGGAAUAUUGGUCAAUGGUCGGAAGACUGAACCAGCCAAGUAGCGUGAAGGAUGAAGGUUCUAUGGAUUGUAAACUUCUUUUAUACGGGAAUAAAACACCUUACGUGUAGGGUCUUGUAUGUACCGUAUGAAUAAGCAUCGGCUAACUCCGUG
rnacentral:rRNA from 1 species